rnacentral:rRNA from 1 species
AGAGUUUGAUCAUGGCUCAGAUUGAACGCUGGCGGCAUGCCUUACACAUGCAAGUCGAACGGCAGCACGGGUGCUUGCACCUGGUGGCGAGUGGCGAACGGGUGAGUAAUACAUCGGAACAUGUCCAGUAGUGGGGGAUAGCCCGGCGAAAGCCGGAUUAAUACCGCAUACGAUCUACGGAUGAAAGCGGGGGAUCUUCGGACCUCGCGCUAUUGGGGUGGCCGAUGGCGGAUUAGCUAGUUGGUGGGGUAAAGGCCCACCAAGGCGACGAUCCGUAGCUGGUCUGAGAGGACGACCAGCCACACUGGGACUGAGACACGGCCCAGACUCCUACGGGAGGCAGCAGUGGGGAAUUUUGGACAAUGGGCGAAAGCCUGAUCCAGCAAUGCCGCGUGUGUGAAGAAGGCCUUCGGGUUGUAAAGCACUUUUGUCCGGAAAGAAAUCCUGGUGGCUAAUAUCCGCCGGGGAUGACGGUACCGGAAGAAUAAGCACCGGCUAACUACGUGCCAGCAGCCGCGGUAAUACGUAGGGUGCGAGCGUUAAUCGGAAUUACUGGGCGUAAAGCGUGCGCAGGCGGUGAUGUAAGACCGAUGUGAAAUCCCCGGGCUUAACCUGGGAACUGCAUUGGUGACUGCAUCGCUGGAGUAUGGCAGAGGGGGGUAGAAUUCCACGUGUAGCAGUGAAAUGCGUAGAGAUGUGGAGGAAUACCGAUGGCGAAGGCAGCCCCCUGGGCCAAUACUGACGCUCAUGCACGAAAGCGUGGGGAGCAAACAGGAUUAGAUACCCCAGUAGUCC